rnacentral:misc_RNA from 1 species
AACGCACAUUGCACUCUCUGGUAUUCCGGAGAGUAUGCUUGUUUGAGUAUCUGUAAACAUCUCAACCCUCAAGGCGCUUGCGUCGGGAGGAUUGGACUUGAGUGAUCCCGACUCUUUCUCACGAAAGAGGAGGGUCGCUUGAAAUGCAGGUGCAGCAGGACAUUCUUCUGAGCUAAAAGCAUAUCUAUUUAGUCCCGUCAAACGGAUUAUUACUUUUGCUUCAGCUAACAUAAAGGUCGAAUGCGCCACAAUCGCUGAUUGCAGGAAAACUCGUUCGUAAGAACUUGUAAACUCGAUCUCAAAUCAAGUAAGACUACCCGCUGAACUUAA